AUAUCAUGAUGUGGGCAUUUUUUUAACAACUCUUUAAAUUUCCCAUGCAUCAUACAACGAUUUCCCUUUCGUCCGGUAGAAAUUAUUAAUUUCCCCCUCAAUUU